rnacentral:snRNA from 1 species
GUGCUCGCUUCAGCACUAAAAUUGGAACAAUGCAAAGAAGAUUAGCAUGGCCCUUGUGCAAAUAGGUGAUGGGUUAAUAAGAGGGCACUUGU